CCUACGGGUGGCAGCAGUAGGGAAUCUUCCACAAUGGGCGAAAGUCUGAUGGAGCAACGCCGCGUGGGUGAAGAAGGUCUUCGGAUCGUAAAACUCUGUUGUUAGAGAAGAAAGUGCGUGAGAGUAACUGUUCACGUUUCGACGGUAUCUAUCCAGAAAGCCACGGCUAACUACGUGCCAGCAGCCGCGGUAAUACGUAGGGGGCAAGCGUUAUCCGGAUUUAUUGGGCGUAAAGGGAACGUAGGCGGUCUUGUAAGUCUGUUGUGAAAGUCUUCGGCUUAACCGGAGUAGUACUUCGGAAACUGGGGGACUUGAGUGCAGGAGAGGAGAGUGGAACUCCAAGUGUAGCGGUGGAAUGCGUAGAUAUAUGGAAGAACACCAGUGGCGAAAGCGGCUCUCUGGUCUGUAACUGACGCUGAGGUUCGAAAGCGUGGGUAGCAAACAGGAUUAGAUACCCGGGUAGUC
rnacentral:rRNA from 1 species